GUGCUUGCUUCAGCAGCAUAUAUACUCAAAUUGGAACAAUACAGAGAAGAUUAGCAUGUCCCCUGUACAAGGAUGACAUACAAAUUCAUGAAGCAUUCAAUAUUUUU